AGUCAAUAGAUACCCUGGUAGUCCACGCCGUAAACGAUGUCGACUUGGAGGUUGUGCCCUUGAGGCGUGGCUUCCGGAGCUAAACGCGUUAAGUCGACCGCCUGGGGAGUACGGCCGCAAGGUUAAAACUCAAAUGAAUUGACGGGGCCGGCACAAGCGGUGGAGCAUGUGGUUUAAUUACGAUGCAACGCGAAGAACCUUACCUACUCUUGACAUCCAGAGAACUUAGCAGAGAUGCUUUGGUUGCCUUCGGGUAACGUCUGAGACAGGUGGCUGCAUGGCUGUCGUCAGCUCGUGUUGUGAAAUAGUUGGGUUAAGUCCCGCAACGAGCGCAACCCUUACUCCUUUGUUGCCAGCGGUUAGGUCCGGGAACGUCAAAGGAGACUGCCAGUGAUAAACUGGAGGAAGGUGGGGAGUGACGUCAAGUCAUCAUGGCCCUUACGGAGUAGGGCUACACACGUGCUACAAUGGCGCAUACAAAGAGAAGCGACCUCGCGAGAGCAAGCGGACCUCAUAAAGUGCGUCGUAGUCCGGAUUGGA
rnacentral:rRNA from 1 species